UGGCACUUCCGAGGUCAUUCAUAAACAGGCACAGAGGAGCAAAAAAUUGGAGUCACCCCACGGGCAUGUUCCCAGGCACUGGGACAACUCUUUUCCAAAGAAAGACCCAAAAAUCGUACAAAUAAGUCCAAAUGAAGCAUGAUGGGAAAUCAGGGACUAAUUCUGCUUGGAGGACAGGGAAGGCUUUCAAAGCUCUUACAAUGAAACAUGGCAAUAAACAAAAUCUCAUUUACUGUUGGAAAGAUCUGGGAGCAAUGUUAGAAGAAAAGUUAACAAAAAGGUAAAAGGAUUUUAGGAGCCAAUAUAACUACUAAUAAUGAAAAUACCUGUGAGAAAAUUAUUCCCAACUAGAUGACUACCUAUUACAAAUAAAUAUUUUUCUCUAACCUA
rnacentral:lncRNA from 1 species